UAGGGAAUCUUCGGCAAUGGACGAAAGUCUGACCGAGCAACGCCGCGUGAGUGAAGAAGGUUUUCGGAUCGUAAAACUCUGUUGUUAGAGAAGAACAAGGACGUUAGUAACUGAACGUCCCCUGACGGUAUCUAACCAGAAAGCCACGGCUAACUACGUGCCAGCAGCCGCGGUAAUACGUAGGUGGCAAGCGUUGUCCGGAUUUAUUGGGCGUAAAGCGAGCGCAGGCGGUUUCUUAAGUCUGAUGUGAAAGCCCCCGGCUCAACCGGGGAGGGUCAUUGGAAACUGGGAGACCUGAGUGCAGAAGAGGAGAGUGGAAUUCCAUGUGUAGCGGUGAAAUGCGUAGAUAUAUGGAGGAAAACCAGUGGCGAAGGCGGCUCUCUGGUCUGUAACUGACGCUGAGGCUCGAAAGCGUGGGGAGCAAACAGG
rnacentral:rRNA from 1 species